UCUAAUACCGGAUACUGAUCAUCUUGGGCAUCCAAGGUGUUCGAAAGCUCCGGCGGUGCAGGAUGAGCCCGCGGCCUAUCAGCUUGUUGGUGAGGUAGUGGCUCACCAAGGCGACGACGGG
rnacentral:rRNA from 1 species